UUUUUUAUCUUUUUUUU
rnacentral:sRNA from 1 species